AGCAACCUACUUCCGAUCAAAGUUAUUCCACCUCUAAUUGCACCUUGCACUCAACUCAACAUUCGCACCCUGCACGUUCCACCCAAUCCAGUGCUUCUGAUCAUCCCAAAUAUUGUUAUUGUGGAAAAUUGGCUCAAUUGAAGACCGCUUGGACUGUACGAAAUUUGGGGCGCCAAUUUUAUGGAUGUGCUUAUUGGAGCCCGCUAUCUGUAUGAAUUUUUAUUUCUUCCUUUAUGAAUACUUGAUACAUACAUACUUAUAAUCUAUUUAUUAGUAAAUACUAAUAAAAUUUAAAAUUUUGAUUUUGCUGAUUUUGUAGAUGGGACUUACUUGUGGUUUUUUUGAGUGGAUUGAUCCUUCUCUAUGUAAGAAGGGGAAGAAAAUUAUUCCUAGAAUUUGGAACAAACUCAAUGAAACAGAGACUAAAAAUAAUACCCUUAUUGUUGAUUUGAAAGCUUCUCGUGCCCAUGAAAAAUAUCUGGUAGAGCAACUCGCGGAAGCAGUUCAAUAUGAAGGUGAUUUACAAAGUCAGGUAAUUGACAUUUCAAAACUAUUGUCCAGCUAUAAGAAAGAGAGACAUGUGCUCUAUGGGUUGGUUGGAGCUUUGUUUUUGCUUGUGGUUGUCUUUAUUGUCUCUACAUGAAAGAUGGUUGUUGGUGGCUGGUUUUUGGGUUAUCAUCUCUUCAUGAAGAUGGUUGUUGGUGGCU
rnacentral:lncRNA from 1 species